rnacentral:rRNA from 1 species
AGGUGCAAUUGACGCUGAGGCACGAAAGCGUGGGGAUCAAACAGGAUUAGAUACCCUGGUAGUCCACGCCCUAAACGAUGAAUACUCGAUGUUAGCGAUAUACAGUUAGCGUCUAAGCGAAAGCGUUAAGUAUUCCACCUGGGGAGUACGCCCGCAAGGGUGAAACUCAAAGGAAUUGACGGGGGCCCGCACAAGCGGAGGAGCAUGUGGUUUAAUUCGAUGAUACGCGAGGAACCUUACCCGGGCUUGAACUGCAGGAGAACGAUUCAGAGAUGAUGAGGUCCUUCGGGACUCCUGUGGAGGUGCUGCAUGGUUGUCGUCAGCUCGUGCCGUGAGGUGUCGGCUUAAGUGCCAUAACGAGCGCAACCCCUUUCUCCAGUUGCCAUCAGGUAGAGCUGGGCACUCUGGAGACACUGCCACCGUAAGGUGUGAGGAAGGUGGGGAUGACGUCAAAUCAGCACGGCCCUUACGUCCGGGGCUACACACGUGUUACAAUGGGUGGUACAGAGAGUUGGAUCAACGCAAGUUGGUUCUAAUCCUUAAAGCCAUCCUCAGUUCGGAUUGGGGUCUGCAACCCGACCCCAUGAAGCUGGAUUCGCUAGUAAUCGCGCAUCAGCCAUGGCGCGGUGAAUACGUUCCCGGGCCUUGUACACACCGCCCGUCAAGCCAUGAAAGCCACUCUUAGAC